rnacentral:rRNA from 1 species
GAGUUUGAUCCUGGCUCAGGACGAACGCUGGCGGCGUGCCUAACACAUGCAAGUCGAGCGAUGAAGUUCCUUCGGGAACGGAUUAGCGGCGGACGGGUGAGUAACACGUGGGUAACCUGCCUCAAAGAGGGGGAUAGCCUCCCGAAAGGGAGAUUAAUACCGCAUAACAUUAUUUUCUCGCAUGAGAAGAUAAUCAAAGGAGCAAUCCGCUUUGAGAUGGACCCGCGGCGCAUUAGCUAGUUGGUGAGGUAAAGGCUCACCAAGGCGACGAUGCGUAGCCGACCUAAGAGGGUGAUCGGCCACAUUGGAACUGAGACACGGUCCAGACUCCUACGGGAGGCAGCAGUGGGGAAUAUUGCGCAAUGGGGGAAACCCUGACGCAGCAACGCCGCGUGAGUGAUGAAGGUCUUCGGAUUGUAAAGCUCUGUCUUUGGGGACGAUAAUGACGGUACCCAAGGAGGAAGCCACGGCUAACUACGUGCCAGCAGCCGCGGUAAUACGUAGGUGGCAAGCGUUGUCCGGAUUUACUGGGCGUAAAGAGUAUGUAGGCGGAUAUUUAAGUCAGAUGUGAAAUUCCCGGGCUUAACCUGGGCGCUGCAUUUGAAACUGGGUAUCUAGAGUGCGGGAGAGGAAAGUGGAAUUCCUAGUGUAGCGGUGAAAUGCGUAGAGAUUAGGAAGAACACCAGUGGCGAAGGCGACUUUCUGGACCGUAACUGACGCUGAGAUACGAAAGCGUGGGGAGCAAACAGGAUUAGAUACCCUGGUAGUCCACGCCGUANACGAUGAAUACUAGGUGUCGGGGGGUACCACCCUCGGUGCCGUAGCAAACGCAAUAAGUAUUCCGCCUGGGGAGUACGGUCGCAAGNUUAAAACUCAAAGGAAUUGACGG